rnacentral:SRP_RNA from 2 species
GCUGGGCACAAUGGCAAGUGCCUAUAGUCCCAACUACUUGGGAGGCUGAAGCAGGAGGAUCACUUGUGCCCAGGAGUUUUGAGGUUGCAGUGAGCUAAGAUCAUGCCACUGCACUCCAGCCUGGGCAACAGAGCAAGACCCUGUCUCAA